UAAAAUUUUAGAAUUAAACCCUGCUUGCUGCAGUGAUGUGCCCCCAACGUCUUCUUCCUCCCACUUCUUCUGUCUUCUUCGACAAACGAUGAACCUCCACUUUUUCUUCUACCCCCUUUCCGUCUGCCUUCUUUCUCUUCAUGAAGUCCCUCCGCUUCUUCCUCCACCCACUAUUCUCUGCCUUCUUCCACAUCACGAUGAACCACCUUUUCUUCUUCUACCCCCUUUCCGUCUGCAUUCUUCCUCUUCGCGAUGUCCCUAUGCUUCUUUCUCUACCCACUGUCCUCUGCCUUCUUCCACAACAACUCCAUGACCUACUUCUUCAAGUCAUGGCUCAAACUCUGUUGCUCGUGUGUUGUUUUACUUCUCAAAUUUCCCAAAACUUUUUAGGGUUUUGGUUAAAAGAGGAUGACCUUUAAUGGAACCUCCAGUUGGGAACAAGUUCCGUAUCGGUUGAAAAAUCUGUGGCGGAUCCUUUGGAGAGAUUUAUCUCGAAAUAGUAGUAAUCAGAAGAGACAGCUGCGGUGGCAAAGGGGAAGAGAAGGGCGGUGGAGGAACUAGUGGACAAGGCCACUCUUCAGAAGCAGAGACACAUGAUCAAGAGUCUGCUGCUAGGUCCAGAGAACACAAACAUAAAGCCUUGCUGAUGCUACCAGAAACUUGUCUCAGCAGAAUCUCAACUUUUAGGAACUUCUAUUGAAGGAGUUGAGCUAAAGCCAUGAAUAAAGAGCUAGAAGAUGCAAAAUAUGAAUUGAGAUCAAAAGAAUGUUCUCCCUGCUGCUGUAACGACUAGAGUUAGCAUAGAAGUCGGAUCAACAUUUGGUUGACAGAAGAUUGUUGGCAGACAGGAAAAAGCCAUAGGCAUUGACCGUUUUGGAGCAAGUGCUCCAGCAGAAAAGAUAUACAAGGAGUUUGGUAUCACCAAGGAAGUUGCUGCUGCAAAAGAACUUUCAUAAAUCCUCUUAGUUUUCUUGAUUUUUAUUUUUUCUUAUCAAGAACUUUUAAGUUUCAAUAGUGGUAUGAAUUUCAAUUACGGAUUUGUUUUUUGAGAAAUCAGUUUAGCCACAAUAAGGAAGAUUAGAUUACUCUUGAAAAUGGUUCUCAAAUAAGAGACAGAGACCGAAGGAUGGGUGGAAUCAAUAAAGUUGUAUGAAUUUGUAACAACUCUUUUGGCUUGUGAGUUUUUUUUUCUGUGAUGUAGCAUUAUUCAUAUUCAUACAGAUGAACCAGAAGAUAGAACAUAACAUUAAUGAAAUUGGAAAAAAUGUCAUCAAUAGCAUCCAUGUG